rnacentral:rRNA from 1 species
UACAGAGGUCUCAAGCGUUGUUCGGAUUCAUUGGGCGUAAAGGGUGCGUAGGCGGCGCGGUAAGUCGGAUGUGAAAUCUCGGAGCUUAACUUCGAAACUGCAUUCGAUACUGCCGUGCUUGAGGACUGGAGAGGAGACUGGAAUUUACGGUGUAGCGGUGAAAUGCGUAGAUAUCGUAAGGAACACCUGCGGCGAAGGCGGGUUGCUGGGCCGACACUGACGCUGAGGCGCGAAAGCCAGGGGAGCGAACGGG